rnacentral:rRNA from 1 species
CCCGCACAAGCGGUGGAGCAUGUGGUUUAAUUCGACGCAACGCGAAGAACCUUACCUGGGUUUGACAUCCCUGUCGUAUUCCAUGGAAACAUGGGAGUCAGUUCGGCUGGACAGGUGACAGGUGCUGCAUGGCUGUCGUCAGCUCGUGUCGUGAGAUGUUGGGUUAAGUCCCGCAACGAGCGCAACCCUUGUCCUUAGUUGCCAGCAUUCAGUUGGGCACUCUAAAGGGACUGCCGGUGUCAAACCGGAGGAAGGUGGGAUGACGUCAAGUCCUCAUGGCCUUUAUGUCUAGGGCUACACACGUACUACAAUGGCAGGUACAAAGGGCAGCGACACAGCGAUGUGAUGCGAAUCCCGAAAAGCCUGUCUCAGUCCGGAUCGGAGUCUGCAACUCGACUCCGUGAAGUUGGAAUCGCUAGUAAUCGUGGAUCAGCAUGCCACGGUGAAUACGUUCCCGGGCCUU